GUGUGCUCUUUGGCUGAGGGACUGGUGGGCGCUGGAAAUAUUAGAGGCGCCGGUGCCUGUGAUGUCGCCGCCUCUGUGACGUCCCCGCCGCGACCCCACAGGCAGGGAGCCGCAUUUAGGUUUCGGGCGGGCGGACGGGGGACGGCCCGAGUGAGGCGUCCUCCGAAGGCUGCGGGCCCGAAGCCAGAACUCCUUCCUCUCCGAAGACCUCGGGGGUGGGGCUCGCGCUUCCGCAGCGGGCCUAGAGCGAGAGGCAGGCGGCAGGUCAAGAGACUGCUCUCCUCCCCAAGCUAGGGGAACCUUCUGGGACUCCAUCAACUGACAAUGAGGGGAUAAUGGUCCCUCACUGCCCCAUCAGGAAAGGCUCAUGGGUGAUUGGGACCUUUGCUUGAAACCCAACUUACUGGCCAGGAACCUCAAGUUCUGGGACCAGGCGCCUUCCUCCCUCCCACUGUGCCAGAGGAGGGGAGACAAAAUCCCUCAAUGGCUGUCUAGCUCCAGGCAGAUCAGCUGCCACGGGGACUGCUGAGCAGGGAGAGGCUGUCGAUGCUGAGGCACGAGAGAAUUUGCUCCUGCUCCUCCAGAGAAAAUGGCUGGGACAGGCUGUUGAGGAAUAAUUCUGCAGGGAAAAGUGGAAGAUGGCUGUGAAAGACUGGGAGGAGGCUGGCUGUGUUUUCAGGGGUUCUUCCUGCACAGUCGGUAGAAGCUGAGCUGCUGGGGAAGGGGCUGGAAGAAAGCCCACACCGCAGGUAUCAGUAGCAAAUUCAAAAACUACAGAAUCAGCUCCAGAGGACUUUGUUAACAAGAAAGAGAAGAUUGAAAACAGCCCUGGGGCUACACCAACUCAAGAGCUCCCAGGCAAAGUGGCAUCCUGGACCCACCAUCUCUCCUACCCCAUCCUCAGUCGGUACUUCCCCAGGCACCGUUUGUUCUGGCAUGGGGCUAGUUCAGCCCUGGGACCACCCUCAUCCUUAUAACUACCAGCUGUCUUUGGUGAGGUGCAAGAUCUCUCUGGUUUUCUUUAUUUCAUUUUCAUUCCUAUAAUCACAGCCUUUUUUGUGCCCAUCCCUCAGGUGACAUUCUAUUAUGUUUGAUGUGUCAUUUUUGAUUUGGUUGUGUCCUUGCAAAAUGUGCGUUGUUUUAUUUAUCAAUUUAUUUUUAUUUUUAUUUUUUUAAAGAGAUGAGGUCUCAUCAUGUUGCCCAGGCUGGACUCCAACUCCUGGGCUCAAGCGAUCCUUCCACCUCAAUCUUCUGAGUGGCUGGGACUACAGAUGUGCGCCACCAUACCUGGCUAUUGAUCAAUUUUUAGUUUACCAAACAGGCAUUAUGUUCUGGGUCCCAUUCUGUGUCGGGUUCUCUUUUCACUCGGCA
rnacentral:lncRNA from 10 species